UAGCUCGGGUUUCUCUUUCAUUCACAUACAAGUCUUUCUCCUUUUACUAAAGAUUUCCAUGGAGAGGAGCUUUCAAGAGUUCUCUGUAUUUUUGGGAGCUCUGCCAAGGCAGAGCU